UGCAAGUUAGCUCAAAAUGGAAACUUGAGCGUUUUUGGCCAAAAUUGCCAAAAUACAUUAUUGGAAAGUGAUAUUUUAAGGUAUGAGACUAAUGUUAUUUAUUUGGAAAAUAAAUAAUACGGAAUUUAUCGAGAAUCGAAUGAUUAAAGGAUUAGUGGACUAAAUUGGACGAAAGAAAAGUUAUGGAUUAAGAAAUGAGGAGGUGGCAACUUUAAGGGCUUAAGUAAACUUUAGCCAACAACUUAUAGGCUAAGUCAAGGAAUUAAUGUCCCAUGUUCAGCUCAUUCUCUCAAAAUUAAAAAGAAAUAGAAAGAAAGAAAAAGAUGGAGAAGAUGAGAGAAAGGGGAAAAUGGAGCAUUCAACUUCAAAUCGAGCUACGGAGCUCGUUUCUCGACCAAAUUUGAUGAUUUCGGUGGCUAUGGAUUCGGGAUUCAAGCCUUUACUCAAGGAGAUCAUGGUGUAUGAUGAUUAGGAGCUAUGAUUAUGGAAUUUUGAUGGUUGUUCAUGGAGGAAUUCAUUCAGCCAAAGGAUUAUACCAUCAAACAAAGAUUCGACGAAGCGACUAUCGAUAAGGCUCGAGGCGAAUGGAUCGAGAUAUCGUCGUGCUUAUUUAAAGAAUUUGGAUAGCAAGUGGUGAGUACACUUUAAAUUACUCGCUAAUAUUCAUAAAGCUACGUAUUUUAAUACGAAAAGCUAUAUGAAUAUUUAUAUAUCUGAAAAGUUUGUUUUUAAAUUGUAUGCGUAUGUAUGUUUUGAAAAUGAUGUUUUAUCGUAAUGUAUUAAUUUGAUAAUAACAUAAAUGUUAAGGUACCGGGGAUGGGUAAAGUAAAAUAACGUAAAUUGAACCAAAUACAAAUAAGAAAAGUACAGUACAUUCCUAUAUGUACUAAUAAAUCGAAUAUCGAAUAAUAUACAAGUAUCAGAUCAAAUAUGAAUAAAGAAAUAUAGUACAUUCCGAUAGGGUUUUUGACGGAUUUGUGCCUCAUAAACUUAAAAAAUUCCAAUUUAAUGCCUCUUUUAAAAAUAAUUCCGGUUUAGUGCCUGUGUCCCACCAAUCCGCGAUCUUGAAUCGCGGAU